GCCGCUGUAGCACAAUUGGUAGAGGCGUCGCCGCCAGUACAUAAUAUGGCGAAGGUCGCUGGUUCAAAUCCAGCCUGCGGUG